GGCUAAUACCGCAUAAUAGCUUCGGCUCAAAGAGGGGGACCUUCGGGCCUCUCGCGUCAGGAUAUGCCCAGGUGGGAUUAGCUAGUUGGUGAGGUAAUGGCUCACCAAGGCGACGAUCCCUAGCUGGUCUGAGAGGAUGAUCAGCCACACUGGAACUGAGACACGGUCCAGACUCCUACGGGAGGCAGCAGUGGGGAAUAUUGCACAAUGGGCGCAAGCCUGAUGCAGCCAUGCCGCGUGUAUGAAGAAGGCCUUCGGGUUGUAAAGUACUUUCAGCAGUGAGGAAGGCAGGUACGUUAAUAGCGUGCUUGUUUGACGUUAGCUGCAGAAGAAGCACCGGCUAACUCCGUGCCAGCAGCCGCGGUAAUACGGAGGGUGCGAGCGUUAAUCGGAAUUACUGGGCGUAAAGCGCAUGCAGGUGGUUUGUUAAGUCAGAUGUGAAAGCCCGGGGCUCAACCUCGGAAUUGCAUUUGAAACUGGCAGACUAGAGUACUGUAGAGGGGGGUAGAAUUUCAGGUGUAGCGGUGAAAUGCGUAGAGAUCUGAAGGAAUACCGGUGGCGAAGGCGGCCCCCUGGACAG
rnacentral:rRNA from 1 species